rnacentral:rRNA from 1 species
GACGAACGCUGGCGGCGUGCUUAACACAUGCAAGUCGAACGGAAAGGCCCUGCUUUUGUGGGGUGCUCGAGUGGCGAACGGGUGAGUAACACGUGAGUAACCUGCCCUUGACUUUGGGAUAACUUCAGGAAACUGGGGCUAAUACCGGAUAGGAGCUCCUGCUGCAUGGUGGGGGUUGGAAAGUUUCGGCGGUUGGGGAUGGACUCGCGGCUUAUCAGCUUGUUGGUGGGGUAGUGGCUUACCAAGGCUUUGACGGGUAGCCGGCCUGUGAGGGUGACCGGCCACAUUGGGACUGAGGUACGGCCCAGACGCCUACGGGAGGCAGUAGUGGGGAAUAUUGCACAAUGGGCGAACGCCUGAUGCAGAAACGCCGCGUGCGGGAAGACGGCCUUCGGGUUGUAAACCGCUUUCGCCUGUGACGAAGCGGGAGUGACGGUAAUGGGUAAAGAAGCACCGGCUAACUACGUG